rnacentral:rRNA from 1 species
UACGUAGGGUGCGAGCGUUAAUCGGAAUUACUGGGCGUAAAGCGUGCGCAGGCGGCGCGUUAAGACAGGUGUGAAAGCCCCGAGCUUAACUUGGGAAUUGCGCUUGUGACUGGCGAGCUGGAGUGUGGCAGAGGGAGGUGGAAUUCCACGUGUAGCAGUGAAAUGCGUAGAGAUGUGGAGGAACACCGAUGGCGAAGGCAGCCUCCUGGGCCAGCACUGACGCUCAUGCACGAAAGCGUGGGGAGCAAAAGGG